AGUCGAGCGAGCUUGCCUAGAUGAUUUUAGUGCUUGCACUAAAUGAAACUAGAUUUUUGCGAGCGGCGGACGGGUGAGUAACACGUGGGUAACCUGCCCAAGAGACUGGGAUAACACCUGGAAACAGAUGCUAAUACCGGAUAACAACACUAGACGCAUGUCUAGAGUUUGAAAGAUGGUUCUGCUAUCACUCUUGGAUGGACCUGCGGUGCAUUAGCUAGUUGGUAAGGUAACGGCUUACCAAGGCAAUGAUGCAUAGCCGAGUUGAGAGACUGAUCGGCCACAUUGGGACUGAGACACGGCCCAAACUCCUACGGGAGGCAGCAGUAGGGAAUCUUCCACAAUGGACGAAAGUCUGAUGGAGCAACGCCGCGUGAGUGAAGAAGGGUUUCGGCUCGUAAAGCUCUGUUGGUAGUGAAGAAAGAUAGAGGUAGUAACUGGCCUUUAUUUGACGGUAAUUACUUAGAAAGCCACGGCUAACUACGUGCCAGCAGCCGCGGUAAUACGUAGGUGGCAAGCGUUGUCCGGAUUUAUUGGGCGUAAAGCGAGUGCAGGCGGUUCAAUAAGUCUGAUGUGAAAGCCUUCGGCUCAACCGGAGAAUUGCAUCAGAAACUGUUGAACUUGAGUGCAGAAGAGGAGAGUGGAACUCCAUGUGUAGCGGUGGAAUGCGUAGAUAUAUGGAAGAACACCAGUGGCGAAGGCGGCUCUCUGGUCUGCAACUGACGCUG
rnacentral:rRNA from 1 species